rnacentral:rRNA from 1 species
GACGAACGCUGGCGGCGUGCUUAACACAUGCAAGUCGAACGGAAAGGCCCUGCUUUUGUGGGGUGCUCGAGUGGCGAACGGGUGAGUAACACGUGAGUAACCUGCCCUUGACUUUGGGAUAACUUCAGGAAACUGGGGCUAUAACGGGAAAGAGGUCCCGCCUGCAGGGGGGGGGUGGGAAGGUUUCGGCGGUUGGGGUUGGACUCGCGGCUUAUCAGCUUGUUGGUGGGGUAGUGGCUUACCAAGGCUUUGACGGGUAGCCGGCCUGAGAGGGUGACCGGCCACAUUGGGACUGAGAUACGGCCCAGACUCCUACGGGAGGCAGCAGUGGGGAAUAUUGCACAAUGGGCGGAAGCCUGAUGCAGCAACGCCGCGUGCGGGAUGACGGCCUUCGGGUUGUAAACCGCUUUCGCCUGUGACGAAGCGUGAGUGACGGUAAUGGGUAAAGAAGCACCGGCUGACUACGUG